rnacentral:rRNA from 1 species
UACCAGCACCCCGAGUGGUCGGGACGAUUAUUGGGCCUAAAGCCUCCGUAGCCGGUUCUACAAGUCUUCCGUUAAAUCCACCUGCUUAACAGAUGGGCUGCGGAGGAUACUAUAGAGCUAGGAGGCGGGAGAGGCAAGCGGUACUUAGUGGGUAGGGGUAAAAUCCGUUAAUCCAUUGAAGACCACCAGUGGCGAAGGCGGCUUGCCAGAACGCACUCGACGGUGAGGGAUGAAAGCUGGGGGAGCAAACCGG